rnacentral:rRNA from 1 species
UACGUAGGUGGCAAGCGUUAUCCGGAUUUAUUGAGCGUAAAGGGAACGCAGGCGGUCUUUUAAGUCUGAUGUGAAAGCCUUCGGCUUAACCGGAGUAGUGCAUUGGAAACUGGGAGACUUGAGUGCAGAAGAGGAGAGUGGAACUCCAUGUGUAGCGGUGAAAUGCGUAGAUAUAUGGAAGAACACCAGUGGCGAAAGCGGCUCUCUGGUCUGUAACUGACGCUGAGGUUCGAAAGCGUGGGUAGCAAACAGG